CAAAACAAUUGCUCCAUAACUGUGGAUUUAAUCAUUUGAUAUGUGGAUAACUUUCAGUGGACUAAACAAAUAAAAGAAUGGGAAACACUG